rnacentral:tRNA from 1 species
CGCGGUAUGGAGCAGUGGCAGCUCGUCGGGCUCAUAACCCGAAGGUGCCCAAAGGGUGCCCGGUUCGAAUCCAUCUGCCGCUACCA